rnacentral:rRNA from 1 species
UACAGAGGUGGCAAGCGUUGUUCGGAAUUACUGGGCGUAAAGGGCGCGUAGGCGGCCUUCUAAGUCGGACGUGAAAGCCCCAAGCUUAACCUGGGAACUGCGUCCGAUACUGGAAGGCUUGGAUUCGGGAGAGGGAUGUGGAAUUCCAGGUGUAGCGGUGAAAUGCGUAGAUAUCUGGAGGAACACCGGUGGCGAAGGCGGCAUCCUGGACCGGUAUUGACACUGAGGCGCGAAAGCCAGGGGAGCAAACGGG